rnacentral:rRNA from 1 species
UACGUAGGGUGCAAGCGUUAAUCGGAAUUACUGGGCGUAAAGCGUGCGCAGGCGGUUAUGCAAGACAGAUGUGAAAUCCCCGGGCUCAACCUGGGAACUGCAUUUGUGACUGCAUGGCUAGAGUAUGGUAGAGGGGGAUGGAAUUCCGCGUGUAGCAGUGAAAUGCGUAGAUAUGCGGAGGAACACCGAUGGCGAAGGCAAUCCCCUGGACCUGUACUGACGCUCAUGCACGAAAGCGUGGGGAGCAAACAGG